rnacentral:rRNA from 1 species
GAUGAACGCUGGCGGCGUGCCUAAUACAUGCAAGUCGAGCGAACAGAUAAGGAGCUUGCUCCUUUGACGUUAGCGGCGGACGGGUGAGUAACACGUGGGUAACCUACCUAUAAGACUGGGAUAACUUCGGGAAACCGGAGCUAAUACCGGAUAAUAUUUCGAACCUCAUUGUUCGAUAGUGAAAGAUGGUUUUGCUAUCACUUAUAGAUGGACCCGCGCCGUAUUAGCUAGUUGGUAAGGUAACGGCUUACCAAGGCGACGAUACGUAGCCGACCUGAGAGGGUGAUCGGACACACUGGAACUGAGACACGGUCCAGACUCCUACGGGAGGCAGCAGUAGGGAAUCUUACGCAAGGGGCGAAAGCCUGACGGAGCAACGCCGCGUGAGUGAUGAAGGUCUUCGGAUCGUAAAACUCUGUUAGUAGGGAAGAACAUAAGUGUAAGUAACUGUGAACGUCUUGACGGUACCGAAUCAGAAAGCCACGGCUAACUACGUG